rnacentral:rRNA from 1 species
GGGUUGUGAGGUUAAGCGACUAAGCGUACACGGUGGAUGCCUAGGCAAUCAGAGGCGAUGAAGGACGUGCUAAUCUGCGAUAAGCGUCGGU